GCCCAGUCGGGGCUACUGAGACGGCGGG
rnacentral:sRNA from 1 species